AUAUUGUGUUGAUGAUGGUGGUUCGUGCCACUUAGGUUUCAAGGAUGAAAGGUUGGAACAUGGGAAUUCAUUUCCUGGAGAUGGUAAUGGUAAUUUUUCUGUUGGCAGGCAAAAUUGUAACAUGAAAUUUAAGGAUGCUACCUCUGCUGCUCAAGCAGCGGCUGAGUUUGCAGAACAUGCAAGCCUAGCUGCCAGAGCUGUUGUAAGAUUUGCAAGGCAAUAUUGUGUUGAUGAUGGUGGUUCAUGCCACGUAGGUUUCAAGGAUGAAAGGUUGGAAUAUUGGCAAUCAUUUCCUGGAGAUGGUAAUUUUUCUUUUGGCAGGCAGAAUUGGAACAUGAAAUUUAAGGAUGCUACCUCUGCUGCUCAAGCAGCGGCUGAGUUUGCAGAACAUGCAAAACUAGCUGCCAGAGCUGUUGUAGAACUUUCAAGGCAAUAUUGUGUUGAUGAUGGUGGUUCAUGCCACUUAGGUUUCGAGGACGAAAGGUUGGAACAUGGGCAAUCAUUUCC
rnacentral:lncRNA from 1 species